UACGGAGGAUGCAAGCGUUAUCCGGAAUGAUUGGGCGUAAAGGGUCCGCAGGUGGCAGUGUAAGUCUGCUGUCAAAGAAUGAGGCUUAACCUCAUCAAGGCAGUGGAAACUACACAGCUAGAGUACGGUCGGGGUAGAAGGAAUUCCUGGUGUAGCGGUGAAAUGCGUAGAGAUCAGGAAGAACACCGGUGGCGAAAGCGUUCUGCUAGACCUGUACUGACACUGAGAGACGAAAGCUAGGGGAGCAAAAAGG
rnacentral:rRNA from 1 species